UACAUAGGUCUCAAGCGUUGUUCGGAUUCAUUGGGCGUAAAGGGUGCGUAGGCGGCGCGGUAAGUCGGGUGUGAAAUCUCGGAGCUUAACUCCGAAACUGCAUUCGAUACUGCCGUGCUUGAGGACUGGAGAGGAGACUGGAAUUUACGGUGUAGCGGUGAAAUGCGUAGAUAUCGUAAGGAAGACCAGUGGCGAAGGCGGGUCUCUGGACAGUUCCUGACGCUGAGGCACGAAGGUCGGGGGAGCAAACGGG
rnacentral:rRNA from 1 species